rnacentral:ncRNA from 1 species
GGCGAGAUGAAGUGGAUGUGGGUGUCGAUGCCGCCGGCCGUGGCGAUCAGGUGCUCGCCGGAGACGACCUCGGUGCCGGGGCCGAUCACCAGUUUGGGGUCGACGCCGUUCUGCACAUGCGGGUUGCCGGCCUUGCCGA